UAUGCAAAGCUAUGUCUGGAUGCUUGAGUAUAUACUGUCGGUAUAGUGCUCGAUGCAUUAAGUUGCACAGCGUAAUAAAUUGUA